CCUACGGGCGGCAUCAGUGGGGAAUAUUGGACAAUGGGGGGAACCCUGAUCCAGCCAUGCCGCGUGUGUGAAGAAGGCCCUCGGGUUGUAAAGCACUUUCAGUGAGGAAGAACGCCUGGUGGUUAAUACCCAUCAGGAAAGACAUCACUCACAGAAGAAGCACCGGCUAACUCCGUGCCAGCAGCCGCGGUAAUACGGAGGGUGCGAGCGUUAAUCGGAAUUACUGGGCGUAAAGCGCGCGUAGGUGGCUUGAUAAGCCGGUUGUGAAAGCCCCGGGCUCAACCUGGGAACGGCAUCCGGAACUGUCAAGCUAGAGUGCAGGAGAGGAAGGUAGAAUUCCCGGUGUAGCGGUGAAAUGCGUAGAGAUCGGGAGGAAUACCAGUGGCGAAGGCGGCCUUCUGGACUGACACUGACACUGAGGUGCGAAAGCGUGGGUAGCAAACAGGAUUAGAUACCCCAGUAGUC
rnacentral:rRNA from 1 species